rnacentral:sRNA from 1 species
UGCGGGCAGAGUGGGGCUCAGGACAGUGGGCUGUCAGCUAUCUGUAAGCUUCUUACAUCCUGAUACUACAUUGGAGCAUUGCCUUGCUCCUUUUUACUCGUAAUUACUUGCUGACCUUUUCGGCAUGGAGAGUGGUUCCCUUGUGGCAAAUGAGAAACAUGUUCAGCCUCUACAUUCUGAUGUUGAACAACUGAUGUCAAGUAUUGAUCAUGAGCUGGGUGCACUAAAUGAGAUCUGUGAUCAAUCCAUAGGUAAGAU